rnacentral:lncRNA from 1 species
UGACAAACAAGGGUCCCUUAGGGGGGUGCUGCGGCGGCAUCAAGGGUCUCUACGGCGCUGCCAAGACGACGCCGGACAGGCAGAGCGUCUGCAACUGCCUCAAAACCCUCGCCAGUUCGUAUAAGGGCGUCAACCUCGGCAAGGCCGCCGGCCUCCCCGGACAAUGCGGCGUCAGCAUUCCCUACAAGAUCAGCCCUUCCACCGACUGCUCCAAGUAAGCAAAAUUAAAUAUUACUCUCUGUCCCAGCGAAUCUUGAGUCACUUUCCUUAUAUGACAAAAAAAUUCUCUUUAUUCACCAUUUCACUUUUUCACCUACCACACUUAAUACACUAAAUACGAUUUUCCUAAUUCCUGUGUCGAAAAGAAUUGCCUCAAGAUUCGCGGGACGGAGGGAGUAACAGAUAUUGGUAAUUUAAUUAAUUAAUGAUCAUGUUUAAUGUUGUGUUUUGCAGGGUGAAGUGAGGUUUGAUCAUGUGAUGCAGAUUAAUGAGCCGUAUUCCG